CCUACGGGCGGCAGCAGUGAGGAAUAUUGGUCAAUGGACGGUAGUCUGAACCAGCCAUGUCGCGUGCAGGAAGACGGCCCUAUGAGUUGUAAACUUCUUUUGUAUGAGGGUAAAGCUGAAUAUGUAUAUUCCCCUGAAUGUACCUUAUGAAUAAGGAUCGGCUAACUCCGUGCCAGCAGCCGCGGUAAUACGGAGGAUCCAAGCGUUAUCCGGGUUUAUUGGGUUUAAAGGGUGCGUAGGCGGGUUUUUAAGUUAAGGGGUAAAUGUCCGGGCUUAAAUCCGGACCUGCCUUUAAGACUGGCGGUCUCGAGUGGGGGUGAGGUAUGCGGAAUGCGUGGUGUAGCGGUGAAAUGCAUAGAGAUCAUGCAGAACUCCGAUUGCGAAGGCAGCAUACC
rnacentral:rRNA from 1 species